GAUCAUGGCUCAGGAUGAACGCUGGCGGCGUGCCUAAUACAUGCAAGUCGUACGAGGUUAAUCCAGCUUGCUGGAGAGACCUAGUGGCGAACGGGUGAGUAAUACGUAAGUAACCUGCCUGCAAGGACUGGGAUAACACCUGGAAACGGGCGCUAAUACCGGAUAGGUAACAGAGGGGCAUCCCACUGUUAUUAAGGUUAAAGACACAAGCAGAUGGGCUUACGGUGCAUUAGCUAGUUGGUGAGGUAACGGCCCACCAAGGCGAUGAUGCAUAGCCGGCCUGAGAGGGUGAACGGCCACAUUGGGACUGAGACACGGCCCAGACUCCUACGGGAGGCAGCAGUAGGGAAUUUUCGGCAAUGGGCGCAAGCCUGACCGAGCAACGCCGCGUGAAGUGAAGAAGAAUUUCGGUUCGUAAAGCUCUGUUGUAAGGGAAGAAUAACACGGAGAGAAUCCGUGCAUGACGGUACCUUACCAGAAAGCCACGGCUAACUACGUGCCAGCAGCUGC
rnacentral:rRNA from 1 species